UUUCGUAGUUUAAUUAUACAACCAA
rnacentral:rRNA from 1 species